GAUGAACGCUGGCGGCGUGCCUAAUACAUGCAAGUCGAGCGAACAGAUAAGGAGCUUGCUCCUUUGACGUUAGCGGCGGACGGGUGAGUAACACGUGGGUAACCUACCUAUAAGACUGGGAUAGCUUCGGGAAACCGGAGCCAAUACCGGAUAAUAUUUCGAACCGCAUGGUUCGAUAGUGGAAGAUGGUUUUGCUAUCACUUAUAGAUGGACCCGCGCCGUAUUAGCUAGUUGGUAAGGUAACGGCUUACCAAGGCGACGAUACGUAGCCGACCUGAGAGGGUGAUCGGCCACACUGGAACUGAGACACGGUCCAGACUCCUACGGGAGGCAGCAGUAGGGAAUCUUCCGCAAUGGGCGAAAGCCUGACGGAGCAACGCCGCGUGAGUGAUGAAGGUCUUCGGAUCGUAAAACUCUGUUAUUAGGGAAGAACAUACGUGUAAGUAACUGUGCACGUCUUGACGGUACCUAAUCAGAAAGCCACGGCUAACUACGUG
rnacentral:rRNA from 1 species